GAGGGUUAAGCUGUCUCCUUUCUNAAAUCAAUGAAAUUANUCUCUCCGUGAAGAAGCGGGGAUAGACUUAUAAGACGAGAAGACCCCAUGGAGCUUUAAACCCAGNUACACCCCCGNUUAAUUAUACUUUAUAAUCUUUAAGGUCCUGUAUUACUGGUUUUAGGUUGGGGUGACCACGGAGCACAAAACAGCCUCCAUAAUGAAUAGACCUUAUCUUUAUCCAUGAACUACAUCUCUAAGAAUUAGAAUUCUAACAUAAAAUGAUCCGAUUUUCGAUCAACGAACCAAGUUACCCUGGGGAUAACAGCGCAAUCCACUUCAAGAGCCCCUAUCGACAAGUGGGUUUACGACCUCGAUGUUGGAUCAGGGUAUCCCAGUGGUGCAGCA
rnacentral:rRNA from 1 species